UACGUGUGGACCAAGCGUUGUUCGGAAUUACUGGGCUUAAAGGGUGCGUAGGUGGCCAGGUAAGUCAGUGGUGAAAGUCGACCGCCCAACGGUCGAAUUGCCAACGAUACUGCCUGGCUUGAGUGUGCUAGGGGGAUGCGGAACGAGUGGUGUAGCGGUGAAAUGCGUAGAUAUCACUCGGAAGGCCAGAGGCGAAGGCGGCAUCCUGGGGCACAACUGACACUGAGGCACGAAAGCGUGGGGAGCAAACAGG
rnacentral:misc_RNA from 1 species